rnacentral:rRNA from 1 species
UGCCAGCCGCCGCGGUAAUACGGAAGGGGCAAGCGUUGUUCGGAUUUACUGGGCGUAAAGGGUACGUAGGCGGCGCAACAAGUCACUUGUGAAAUCUCCGAGCUUAACUCGGAACGGCCAAGUGAUACUGUCGUGCUAGAGUGCAGAAUGGGCAAGUGGAAUUCUUGGUGUAGCGGUGAAAUGCGUAGAUAUCAAGAGGAACACCUGAGGCGAAGGCGACUUGCUGGGCUGACACUGGCGCUGAGGUACGAAAGCCAGGGGAGCGAACGGGAUUAGAUA